rnacentral:tRNA from 1 species
UAGCCUAGUGGUUAAGGCUAUGGAUCGCCGAUCCGAAGACGGCGGGUUCGAUUCCCGU